GGACCUGUAGCCUAGUCUGGCAAGGGUUUCGUUCCUUAAUCCCGAAGUGCGGCAUGCGCUAAAGCUUAGCCCCACGGGAAAAAAGGAAAAACCUUGGACAAAUAAGGCGACAGCCUUCUAAGCUGUAGAUCGGGGGUUCGAAUCCCUCCAGGUCCA
rnacentral:tRNA from 1 species